UACGUAGGGUGCAAGCGUUAAUCGGAAUUACUGGGCGUAAAGCGUGCGCAGGCGGUGAUGUAAAGACAGGUGUGAAAUCCCCGGGCUUAACCUGGGAACUGCAUUUGUGACUGCAUCGCUGGAGUGCGGCAGAGGGGGAUGGAAUUCCGCGUGUAGCAGUGAAAUGCGUAGAUAUGCGGAGGAACACCGAUGGCGAAGGCAAUCCCCUGGACCUGCACUGACGCUCAUGCA
rnacentral:rRNA from 1 species